GCCGAAGUCCCAACGGCAAUACUUCAACGCCUAAAAGCCACGGAGGAAAGGAAAACACCGCACAUCAGCCCAGACUAGCGUCCAAAGGGGGUAAUUGAGUUUCGGUGAGCCCACAUACGUUCCAACAUCCUCGCCAGACGUGCUGGUUCCCAUUUCAUGGCCUCCAACAUGCUCUGUUGAUGAUCGAAUCCCUCUUCAGCACGAAUAUCAUU
rnacentral:lncRNA from 1 species